UUUGAAAAAGGUUUUUCCUGCAGGAGCACCUCCAGUGAUGUCCCAGUGACUGCAGGGACUCAGCCUGUCCCUGCAGGUACUGCUCAGGCAGUGUGAGCUCUAAGAGUCCUUUGCUUUUCUCUCCUUUUUUGCUCUAGAUGCCAUUAAGGUGAAGAAGACCCUGGGGCAGAGGUUCCUCAGGUAGACAGCCAGGAAGGGAGUCAGGCCAGCCACGAGCACUUCCUUCUUCCUCUGUCCCACUGCAUUGAGAACCACCUGAGCCACCUCGGCCGCCGUCUGUCCCUGGGCCGUGGUCUUGUCCAUAACUGCCAAGGGAAAGCCCAGUGAGCACCAGUAUCAGCAGACAGGAACUGGGCAGAUUAUCCAUCUCUGCCUGAGGGCUGCAGCAAGCCAAGAACCCAGUCAGCAGCAGCAACCUGCUUUGGCAGCUUCCAGGCUGGAGUUUGAAUCAACAGGUUCCUUUGCUAUUCUGAGCGUCGUGGUGACACGGAGGAGAGAAGAUGUGCCACCCAUUCUGCAGCCCCUGUUCCAGCAGUAAUGAUCUCCAGAUGAAGGACAGGAAGAAGCUGGAAAUAGUAAUAUCAGAAAUAGUCCCCGGAGGGGCUGUCAGCCCUCGAGUCCCACCUCCAGUGGCAUUCUGAGUUCAUGCUGUGAGUAAAACUCCCAAAUUUCUCACCAAGCCUGCAGUGAACUUGGUGGGGAUUUUGCAAGCCUAAGCCCUGGGGGGUUUGAUGCCAUCUCUGUCUGUUUUAUUUGGAAGACUGAGCUCAGAGCAAGAUUUUAUGAAGUGUGCAUUUCUAUCUCAAAUUUUAGACAGCGUUAACUAGAAACCCACAUACUCUGGAUUUGACAGAAAUCAUCUCUGGCUGCAGAGAUUUGCUGCAGAGCCGAAGAUUUUCUUUAAUACUAAAUAAAAUAACCCCAGAGACAACCUUGAGAAGUCGAGUCUG